rnacentral:rRNA from 1 species
UACAGAGGGUGGCAAGCGUUAAUCGGAAUUACUGGGCGUAAAGCGAGCGUAGUCGGUUAUUUAAGUCGGGUGUGAAAGCCCCGGGCUCAACCUGGGAAUUGCAUUCGAUACUGGAUAGCUAGAGUUCGGCAGAGGGAAGCGGAAUUUCCGGUGUAGCGGUGAAAUGCGUAGAUAUCGGAAGGAACAUCAGUGGCGAAAGCGGCUUCCUGGACCAGAACUGACGAUCAGGCUCGAAAGCGUGGGAGCAACAGG